rnacentral:rRNA from 1 species
UACGUAGGGCGCAAGCGUUGUCCGGAAUUAUUGGGCGUAAAGAGCUCGUAGGCGGCCUGUCGCGUCUGCUGUGAAAUCCCGGGGCUUAACCCCGGGCGUGCAGUGGAUACGGGCUGGCUGGAGGCAGGCAGGGGAGAAUGGAAUUCCCGGUGUAGCGGUGAAAUGCGCAGAUAUCGGGAGGAACACCCGUGGCGAAGGCGGCUCUCUGGGACGGUACUGACGCUGAGACGCGAAAGCGUGGGGAGCGAACAGG